CUACGGGCCGCAGCAGUGGGGAAUAUUGGACAAUGGGGGAAACCCUAAUCCAGCAAUGCCGCGUGUGUGAAGAAGGCCUGCGGGUUGUAAAGCACUUUCGGUUGGGAGGACUGCUUCUAGCACUAAUAUUGUUGGAAGUUGACGUUACCUUCAGAAGAAGCACCGGCUAACUCCGUGCCAGCGCCGCGGUAAUACGGCGGGUGCAAGCGUUAAUCGGAAUUACUGGGCGUAAAGCGCGCGUAGGCGGCUAGAUCAGUCGGGUGUGAAAGCCCCGGGCUUAACCUGGGAACUGCAUCCGAUACUGUCUAGCUUGAGUACAGGAGAGGAGAGUGGAAUUCCACAUGUAGCGGUGAAAUGCGUAGAUAUGUGGAGGAACACCAAUGGCGAAGGCAGCUCUCUGGCCUGAUACUGACGCUGAGGUGCGAAAGCGUGGGGAGCAAACAGGAUUAGAUACCCGGGUAGUC
rnacentral:rRNA from 1 species